rnacentral:rRNA from 1 species
CAGUCGCCGCGGUAAUACGAGGGGGGCAAGCGUUGUUCGGAAUUAUUGGGCGUAAAGGGUGCGUUGGCGGCCAGGCAAGUCUUGUGUGAAAUCGAUGGGCUCAACCCAUCGUCUGCACAGGAAACUGCAGGGCUUGAGGAUGGGAGAGGUAAGUGGAAUUCCGAGUGUAGAGGUGAAAUUCGUAGAUAUUCGGAAGAACACCAGUGGCGAAGGCGGCUUACUGGCUCAUUCUAGACGCUGAGGUGCGAAAGCGUGGGGAGCAAACAGGAUUAGAUACCCGGGUAGUCCCUGUCUCUUAUAA